rnacentral:lncRNA from 1 species
GGGAUGUGUGAAUAGAUGAGGGAAAAUAAUGUAGCUGGUAAUUAUUCUUACCUGUUUCUGAUCAGAAUAAUUUUUUCCCUUUCAGCAUUGUUUUUUUAGCCACUUCUACUAUUGUCUGAUGCCCUGUAGUUUGUGAUCUCUUUCUUGUGUUGAAGUUUGGCUUGGUAUAGGGUGACGAAGAACAGUUCUUUGUUGUGACCUUGCUGAGAAAGGACAUAGGAGAUUUAAACCUAUUUAAGGAGGAGGUUAUUGCCACCUGUCAGCUGGACUGGCAAGACAUCUUUAUUACCAAUUUCACCAUUAAGAAUAUUAGAUCUAUUAUUUUUUGCUGCACUUUCCUAAUCUUCCAAAAGUCCUCUAUAAAACGUCAGAAGAGACUCCUGAGUGGCUGCAAUGAUGACAUCCUGCAGCCACACAAUCACUCUUGCUGCUCCUUGAUACAGUUUGAGGCUUUGUUAAAGUCAAUGGAAAAGACUGCUUUUAAUCCUCCUCUGCUGUCACAGAAAGGAUUGGACAAUCUCUUGUUUUCAAAUGUCCUUUAUAGGUGGCAUACUUCUAGCCCUUAA